GAGCCUUAGUUGCAUGAUUUUUAGUUGUAUACUCUGUGCCUCCUAGACAUAAGUGAAUCCGUACCCUCAUUGAUAUAAGUUGCACCAGAAAAUUAAAGAGAGAACAACAAGCUUACAAAGUUAAAGAGUCAUUUCUCUCUCUCUCUUACAAAGAAUACCUUCACGAGCAAGAAGAGUGCGAGAAGUUCCACCGUGAAAGAUCAUGGCUACUGAGAGGUAUUUAGCGACCAUAAGAGCACAAUCGAACAUGCAGCCAAAAUUGGAGGAGAACCACCUUAAGAUUUUGCACAUGAAGGAACCUGUUGGGGAUUGGCGAGAAUGGACGAUACUGACGUAUGAUCAAAAUGUCCUGGGAGACUUACUGACAAGGGAAAACAAGCUUCUCCAGAAGAGAAUUGAUGAGUAUGAGAUGAAGCUUAAAAUUCUCACUUCUGCUCCUCCUCUCCCUCCAACGUACACGCCAAGAUCUCAAAAUGUAGACCUUGAGAUUGCUACGUCAUGGAAAGAAAACGAGCCCUAAAAUGUUUAUCUGUUGAAACUAUCAAAAGAAUAAAUUUUAUUUACAGAAGUGCUUUGGGGUUAUUACAAGUGCAAGUCGGCAAUGUGUAAUGGAUAAACUUAAGAUGGCUGAGAGCUUCAACCCGUGUGUGAUGUGAGGGUGAUAAAGGCGUGCUUCCAUCAUGAUGUAAUUAUGCAUCUGUUCGCAAUAAGAGUGUUUGUGUUAUCAUUA